GACGAACGCUGGCGGCGUGCCUAAUACAUGCAAGUAGAACGCUGAAGGAGGAGCUUGCUUCUCUGGAUGAGUUGCGAACGGGUGAGUAACGCGUAGGUAACCUGCCUGGUAGCGGGGGAUAACUAUUGGAAACGAUAGCUAAUACCGCAUAAGAGUAGAUGUUGCAUGACAUUUGCUUAAAAGGUGCAAUUGCAUCACUACCAGAUGGACCUGCGUUGUAUUAGCUAGUUGGUGAGGUAACGGCUCACCAAGGCGACGAUACAUAGCCGACCUGAGAGGGUGAUCGGCCACACUGGGACUGAGACACGGCCCAGACUCCUACGGGAGGCAGCAGUAGGGAAUCUUCGGCAAUGGACGGAAGUCUGACCGAGCAACGCCGCGUGGGUGAAGAAGGUUUUCGGAUCGUAAAGCUCUGUUGUAAGAGAAGAACGAGUGUGAGAGUGGAAAGUUCACACUGUGACGGUAUCUUACCAGAAAGGGACGGCUAACUACGUG
rnacentral:rRNA from 1 species